rnacentral:lncRNA from 1 species
GCACAGUCAACUCAGCAGAAUGAGUCCGAGCUGAGGAACUCGAGAAGAUGCCACAUCUGCCUGGAGAACAAAUAAGGAAAUGCGGCAUGGCCAAUUAACUCAGCAGAAGGAGUCUGAACUGAGGAACUCGAGCAUAUGCCACAUUCUGCCAGAAGAAUAGAUAAGGCAAGGGAAAUGAUACAUUGAAGCAUGUGGAGACAAGCACAACAAAGCACGUGCCGAUUCAUCCGCUACUUCUUCAAAAUCAAAAGUAUCUCAUAUCAUCAAAGUUGCAAUCA